UAUGAUUAUCCUAGAAUUUUAUUUUGCUAAAGUGUGCUGGGCUUUGUCCUGCUUUAUGAUUUGUUUUAUAGAUUACAACAUAGCUUUUACUUUUCAGUGAAUGUGUAACAGAAUUCUGCCCAAGCUUGUCCCGCCUCAAGGCUGAUGACCGUAAUUAACGUUUAAAUUGUUCACUUGUAUUCUCUAGUCUUGUUUCUUUUGUCUGUGAAGCAGGAACACUAAAAUCUUUAUUAUUCACAUUAUCUGGUGAUACGAGGACAAUUAGACCAUAUUCACACAUUUAAAAUCUUAUAAACCAUAAGUAAGUAGUAGUAAUAUUUUAUCCUUACUGAUAAGUAAUAUGUGAUAAAUCCUUAAUCACUCUGAAAAAUUUCCCACCCACCAGCAUAAGUUUAUAGGAAAACAACCAUAGAAGAGAUUUUUGAACUACAAUGCCACAGAAUGUUUUAUGUAGGAAAUAUGUUAACUAAAUGUAUGUCAACUUUUAUUUGUUUUAAGUUGUGACUUUUUAUUUCUUAGGAUCUGAGAUUCUUAUAAGUAAAAACCAUAAGGAUCUCAUUUCCACUGCAGUGUGUUGCACUUUCUGCUACCCAAGAAAUAGUAAUGUCAGUAGGCACUAACCUUUUCCUGGGUUAUUUUCACCUAGCUCAGAAGCUGAAACGUAGAGCUUGCUGGUAGUUCCGAUACAGUGCAUAUUUUUUAUGAACCAGUAGAGAUUCGUGUAUGUUUUAGCCAAAGAAAGGCUGUAAACCGCUCACAGUCUCAGUGCCUCUAGUAUUCUACUUAGCAUGCAAUACCUAGGUUUGAUGCAUCACAUUGUAUAAAGGACAUCAUUCUGCGGUUUUCAUUUUUUGAUGUGCAGGUCUGGACUCAUUUCUAACAUCUUUGUUAUUUAUUCUGUUUGUCACAAGAUGUAAAAUAUUUUGUGGCCCUGUAAGUACGUUAAAUUCUUAUGCAAAUUUUUUUUUCCCCGGUACUAACAAAAAUGGUAUUGCAACGAC